rnacentral:lncRNA from 1 species
AUGUUUUCCAUAAUAUACAUUUAAGAGUCAUUGAUACGUGGAUCAGACAUUUUAAAUGUACUCCCAGCUUCUUAUCACUGCUCCAAGGAGAGGUAUUGGCAGAAAAAACAUUGCACAGUCAGGAGAAAGUCUUCCUGUUGGCCCUGCAUGUAUGAUACUUGGGUCUUGCAUGCUCCUUGGACAGGUUCUGGAGAUUGUCUUCUUAUGGCAGUGGCAAAAGCUUAGAAGAGUGGACCCAGAGUAAGGUAACACAUCUCCACCCUAGUCCUGUGGCUUCCCAUUGACUGUGGACUUGGCCUUUAAACAUCCCAUCCUGGGUUGUGCCUGCUCUUUCACUUGAGUUCUGGAUAAGAAGAUAAGUAGAGCUCAACUGUGAACAACCUACUCCAGCAGACACAUUGACCUGCAGACACAUUGACAAAAAGUAAAUGUUUGUUAUUCAGAAUACUUAGAUGUGUUAAUUAUUUGUUAGCA